AUUCUUUUGUAGUUUAUAAGUGUGAUGACUGGGUGUUCACACCCAGGUGUGAGAUGUGCCACCCUCAAACCUUGUUACAAUGUUGGCACAUUACCCAUCAGACA
ensembl:snoRNA